AGAAAACUAAGGAGUGUGUAACCAGUUAGAGCCCAGGGACCAUCCUCAGAGGCUGACUCAGAGCUGAGGCAUCUGAAUGGUUUUUUUUUUUUUUAAUUAUUAGAUAAGGUAUAUGUUUGUGGUAUAUGAGAGCGUGGUAUGAGUCUGGCAGCCAAAGAAUCCAAUGUCCUGCUCUGUCACUUCACCUUGACCCUCUUGAUACAGGGUCUCUCACUGAACCAGGAGCUAGGAUAGCGGCCAGCAAGAUCAGGGAUCCUCCAUCCCAAUACUCCGUAGCCGCAGAGGUCUGGGCGCAUGACCACACCGUAAGAGGGCGUUCCCAGACGUGAGCAGCCCGUGCUUCCACCUAGCUGCUCCUACCUAGCAAGCCCUCACAUCUGUGUCCUAAAGAAGCUUGGGGCGGUGGCAACGCAGGCGUCCGGACAACAACCAGCCAAGAAAACACUGCCCUGACAAACCCUUCUCUGUUGCUCUCUGCAGCAUCCGGGGCUCCCGAACCCCUCCAAUCCCUUCUCAAGCCCUCGCCUGACGUGUGACCUGUUGUCGCACGUGUGGAAUCUUUGCUUUUAUUUUCUUGGAACCUUAGUCAUGAUACGGCCUUGUUAGUCUUCGGUGAUUAACUUCUGAAUCAAAACCAUGUCUUUUGCUCCUCUGAGGUAGAUUGUGUAAAAGCUUCGUGAACUGUGUGUCUCUGGGACUCCUGAGGCGAAGCAUUUCCCGUCACUCCCAGGCCCCACAUUGAAUCUUCCUGUACUCCUGAUUUUGUGGAGAAGCAGUGGCCACUUACUUCGGAGAGCACAGCACCCAUAUGUUUCUAACUAGGCUACACUCAGCAGCCAGGCGUCCAGAGUCCACAGGUGCGCAGCCCUGGUUCGAGGCCCCUCCUCCCCAGAACACACAAACGGUAUGGAAACUUGCUUUUUGUUUAAGUUCAUCAACUUAUACUGGCUUCUCUUUCAGCUUCUGUGCUCCCAACCCUCAUCCACGUUCCUUCCUGCUUUGGGCUGUUUGGGACUUUCAGCUCUGCUCUAAAAACCGCUGAGCAAUACUUCAUGAGAGGAGCCUGAAAAGGGACAACGACUGUUCCCAGGACUCCAUCUGGCAGUUUCCUUUCUGGGCUGAGUCAGAGUCCUAAAGAUGUUAGAAGAGAGGUCAUCAGUGCUGUGUUUUAUAAAAAUAAAGAGAGAAGGAAUACGUCUGGUGGAGGUGCGGUAAGGUGUGUGGGAAGGGGGUGCCUCCACGGGCCCAUGCUGAGGCAUCCCUUCCCCAUGAAGAACAGACAUGGAGAGGGGAGCUGAGAGUGUAGUAGAGACAGAGAAAGGCAGAGAAAGAGAGUAGAGAAACAGAAGUCGGCCAUGAGCACGUGGCAGGGGGUGGGGGUGGGGGUGAGCAUAGAGGGGGUAAGUGAGGAGAGAUUGGGGUAAGGGGUGAGAGGACAGAGCUAGAGCAAGAGGGCAAGAGAGCAAGAGGAGGAGCGAGCCGCCCCUUUUAUGGUGAGUCAGCAACACCUGACUGUUGCCAGGUAACCGUGGGGCGGAGCUUAGACAGAAUGCUAACAGAAUGCUAAGGAGAGCUCCAUCUUGGUCAGCUGCUGGCCACAGUAAAUCCUUAAAUGAAUCUCUACGGGGUGUGUGUGUGGAGGGGGGAGGAGGAAGGAAGAAGGAAGGGAGAUUAAAAGCUAGAACUUUAGGGCAUUUACUAGCUGAGGCAUUUAUUUUCUUGCUGUACAUGGGUUAUUGAGGUUUAUCUCCUAAGAGUAAACUCCCGUCUAAUGUUUCCACUUGACUCACCCUCCUCUGCUCACUGGAAACCUCCCCUCGCGACUUUAGAUUUCGCUCAGUUAUUGAUGUGCAAACCAAAAAGCAAAACUGGGGUCUUAUUUUCAGGGAGGGAAGAGGUAGGAUUUGAACUAUGUACUUGAGCUUGAGUGCUUGCCCUUCUGCUGAGUUGUAUUCCCAGUCCCCACUCCAACAAGUUUCCCAGAAGCCAACCACUAAAGAACAGGAAUGGACUCCACCACCACCACCACCAUCAUCAUCAUCAUCAUCAUCAACAACAACAACAACAACAACACACACACACACACACACACACACACACACACACAUAUAUAUAUAUAUAUACAUAUAUAUAUAUAUAUAUAUAUAUAAAAUCACAUACACACACAUAUUUAACUAUGAGAAGCUUUAAACACCAGGUCCAUAAGAGUCUCUUGGAACCAACUGCAAGCAGAGGCUUACUGCCCUGAGCUCCUAGGGCUGCUUGGAGCCAGUGAGUAGCCACAGGCAGUCAUGAACCCAGGCCUCUCCCUCCACAGAGGAUCUCUGUGGGUUUCAAGUCAUGCACACCUAUGAAUGGGGCGAAUGCUUUGCCUCUCAAACCAUGUAAGUCACCUGUGUCUCAAAAGCAGACAUCUGCCUCAGGGUUCUGUGAAGCCAGAAGGAAAGAGGUUACUUUUUCUUUUGGAGACUUUUUCUUUCGUUUAGGGUUUCCAGCCUGGCCUUCAACUGCCUAUGUAGCCAAGGAUGUCCCAAUUCUGCUUCCACUUCCUGGACUUCCGGGAUUUCAGAUUUAACCCACCAUAACUGUUUUAUGUGGUGCUGGUGAUAAAAGCCAGGGCUUUAGGCUCAGUAUGUGAGCCCUCCACCAACUUAGAUCCACCCCCAGUGCAGGAAGACGAAUUCUAAACUGAAGUUGGAGGAGGAUAGCCCCUAAAAGUUCAGUUUGGGGAUUCAAGACCUGGGGUUUUUCUAGCUAUAUGAGAUAACCUGAGAAGGUUGUGUAGCACCAGAAAUUAUGAAAGGAGCAGGGAUUUUGGAGACAGCCCAAAGUGGAGAUUUCAAUUUGCUUUUAUCGUCUGUGUCUUGAUUUGGGAAAAGUAUCAAGGCUUUCUACAUUUGAGAACCUGAUUUUUGGUUUUUGGAGACAGGGUUACUCCAUGAAGCCUUCGCUUUGUUGGAACUCAUCCUAUAGCCAAGGCUGGUCUGGAACUCACAGACAUCCACCUGCCUCUGCCUCCUGAGUGCUGGGGUUAAAGGCAUGCUCCACUAAGUCUAGUUCAGAAUCUUUAUUCAAAUGACCGGGAUAACAACCUCUGUCUUACAUGGCUGUUGUGUGAGCUGUUGUCACAUGACACAAGGACCUCAUCCCUCCUAGGUAGAAAUGCUGUAAGUAUAGUACAGUGUGUGUGUGUGUGUGUGUGUGUGUGUGUGUGUGUGUGUAAUUGCUUUCAAAUCUCUACUAAUCUGUCUUCCUUUUACCUGCCCCCAAACUUUUAAUCCAAGCAAGGCUUCUCCAGGAUGUGUCGCAUGCCUCUGGAAAUUAUGUUGAUGUGCCAAAGAGAGAUAAUUGGGUGAACUUUGCUACCACCACAGAAUUUCCUUAACAAACAUUUGAGGAUGCCAGCAGGGUCUGGGGGCACUGAUUCCAGGCAAUGACCAUAAUUUGCACCCGAUUUAAAGUAUCUCAUCAUCGGAGAGACUUCCUUACAGUCUUGGUCUGGGUCCAGUUAAAAUCAGAUUUGUCUGCCUUAAAUGUACUCAGAAUACUUGGGCUGACCAUCACGAGAGAGUAUCACGCCACGGCCUGGGACCAGAUCGUCUAGAACCUGAAGCCCGAUUUCCGCUGAAUAACGCAUGUUGCUUUUCAUUGUUGUAAAAUAAAAUCACGUCGAAGCAUCGUAAGUUGGAGGCCUAUACUUUGAAUUGAAUGACAUUGGAUGGACUCAUAAGUAAGUCUCCCUCCUAACUUCUGCCCCUCUCUUCUCUCCCCCUUCUCUCUCCUGAAGCAGGAUAAGGAAACUAGAGGCCCACACAUUUUCAUAAACUCAACCAUGAAGUAUAGAAGCAUUAUUUUAGCUUUGCUUAGAGUUUCUUAGCGAGGUUGACUAAGAAAUUCCUCAACUCAUCAAGUUCAUGAGACCCUGUCGUGCUGACCCUAUUCCUAAGGAGAAGGGCGCUACAUGAGGACCCAAGAGCCACCAGACAGGCCUUACUGAGCCUCCGUGGGUCUCUAACUGUACCAGGAGCGCCUCUGGAGUUCCCUUUGCUGUCCUGAAGGAAGGGCGGCCCAGUCUUCGCCAUCCCUGACUCCAUUCUGGACUCUAAAUUCAAGUCCAUGCUGGCCCCAUGACCUUGAAUAAAUUCUCUAACCACGUUAGCAAAUCUUGUUUCAUGGAUCCCCACUCCUGUGGGGGAACCUGGAGGGAGGCCAUGUGCAAAGUGCUAAAGCCACAAGGCCCACAGACAAUUUAUCUUUAUUUCACAGAUAAGAAACUGAAAUUGGCAGAAAUUACCUGACAUGUGCAAAAACCGUCUGCUUACCAGACAGAGACCAGGUCAGGAAACUGGCUCUGGGUUCUCUCCCCAGAACCAUGUAAACUGGUGUGCGGCACAAACCUGAAAAUCCAGCUAGGGUCAUUCUCUAUUGCAAGACGGAGGCCAGCCCCAAAUAGAUUUUGUCUCGAAAGAAAAAACCAAGAGUGCUGAGGCUAAAGUCUCUCCAGCAGCACAUUCUACACAGAUCACGCCAGUUCAGGGAGCCUGGAUUUCCCAGCCCUCAGAGGAAAGUAAGGUCCUUCACGCCGACAGAAAGCCACUGGGUAUCGCUGUGAUGUUACCACCGUCUCCUACGCACCCUCUAAGUUCUCUCCAUCUGAGCUCACUGAUGGAUCAGCCUUGCUGAUGUCAUCAGAGUAAUCAUUUACUGCUCUACCGUUCGAUCGGACACAACCAUAUGCAUGAUAUGUAACAUAUACUACGUAUACUACAUCUUUAUUCUACCCUCCGAUGUUUCCCAAUUUGAAAAAAAGAUACUCGGAUUCACUAUCGUGCCUGAGUUUACUUAAACCACUUGGACAGACAGAGGAUUUUUUUUUUUAUCAUGGGGGUGUGUGUUAUCCUAUUUGCUAUGUUUCUAAAAAUCCUUGAAGAUCAAUGUUACCCACUAAUCUAUAUAAAAUUUUGAUGCUAAAUACUUUUCUUCCUGCUAUCAGGAGCAAGACAAGAACAUUGCUUUCUAUAAAUGUGUCAGGAUGGAGAGGAAGCGGUAACACUGUGCUCCUCCAUAGAUCAUGCCCUAUUGCACGGAGGAAAUCUCAAAGAAGCCAUCAGCCUACCUACUCAGGUUAACAAGUCAGUUGCUGGGCCCCAGGGAAAAAAAAACACCCAGUCCUCAGCACUGAAAAAGGAAAAGGGAGAGAGAGGGAAGAAGAAGGGAAAGCAGUCAUACAAAAACAUUAUUUUCUUCUAUAUUUUAACAACAAGGAUCCAAAGACAAGAGUCAAUAGAACAGUAGCAGCAAGAAAGCUACUGUUAAAAGUGGCAGCCGUUAAACACUGCACAACACUGAUGCAAAGAAUGAAAGACAAUCUAAAGGCAAAGAUGACAUUCUGCGUCUAAGAUACUCGCUCCAUAUCUGUGAACUAGAAGCUCACUCUUGCUGUCUUAAGAUAAAAACUGUCCUCACGUGAGAAGUCAACACAUGUCUACCAAAUCCUAACAGCCUCUCCCCUCAACCUCUCCCCUUCUCAACAAGUUUUUCCUAAAUUUUAUACGGAAAUUCAAAGGACCUAGAAAAGCCACCUUUAAAAAUACUAAUUGGUUCAUUAGUUUGUUUAUUUAGGGACAGAGUCUCUCACAUCCUAGGCUGGCCUCAAACUUGAUAUGUAGCCAGGCUAUGUGAUGAAACCCUGCCUCAAAACACCGAAAAAUAAAAUAAAAUAAU